UACGUAGGGUGCAAGCGUUAUCCGGAAUUAUUGGGCGUAAAGAGCUCGUAGGCGGUUUGUCGCGUCUGCUGUGAAAACCUAAGGCUCAACCUUGGGCUUGCAGUGGGUACGGGCAGACUAGAGUGCGGUAGGGGUGACUGGAAUUCCUGGGUGUAGCGGUGGAAUGCGCAGAUAUCAGGAGGAACACCGAGUGGCGAAGGCAGGUCACUGGGCCGCAACUGACGC
rnacentral:rRNA from 1 species